rnacentral:rRNA from 1 species
AUGCCAGUUCCUUCUCUGAUUAUUUCUACGACGAGUGAGUUUCAUUGUUGGGUUAUGGUCUACACUCAACUUGCCGAUGGCGUUGAUGGGACUCCACACCCGUUGAUUGUUUUCGCUGGGACUUAUGAGAUGGAGAGCUACGUUCUGAACAAAAGAGAACACGACGAGAAGGUUCUUGGAGGCCCCUUCCUUGUGGAGCUAGUCAGGCUCCUGAAGCUGCCGAUACCCGAGAUCAAGGCAACUAAGAGGACGUCUAGAUCAUGGGGAGUAAAGACCCAAGUUUUUGGCCAUAAAGAAGACCCCAAGACUGCAGACAUCAUCUUUGGAAUGAUGAAUGGUUACUGUGAUAUGGGCAUCAACACCGCCGUCCAUGAUCCUAUUGCACGCUUAUGCUAUCAUCAUCGUGCUGCACUAAACCCACACUCCUUUGGAAGGGUUGGAUGGCAGAAGCUUGAUGGAGCAACUAUUGCCCUGACGGAAGCAUAG